UCUCACCGGCUCAAGGUUGACUCAGCCUUCCAUCCUUCCGAGGAGACAGCAAUCAACCUGGCACCACAAAUUGUUAAAUUAAUAGGCAAAUGAAAUAGAAUGGAAAAAGGCAGUAAUUUUAUCACCACAUGGAAAUGGAAAAAUAGGAUCUUCAACUGGAUACAUGCUAAAAUCAUGAAAAAAUCUUGGAACCAGGAUGGAAUUCAAUAUCGCUUCAUGAACACAGAUAUCCUGGUCAGCAAGUUAUUGGAACAUAGAACCAGAAGAUCCUCUGGAAAAAAGAAUGUGAGGCCACUGGUCUGCUUUCAAACUCUUAAAUAAGUCUUUCCUAAUGUUUCUGUGAACUGGAAAUGUCAGUGAUUAAAAAAGAGACCUUUUACAUCCCCCCAAGCUAUGGUCUACUGAGCUGUGAAAAUUAUAUAAAGAGAUGCCCUCUAGACAUAUUUGUCCACAACUUCCAUAAUUCCUAGUGAAGACAGUAAAAGAUAUCCACAGGCAAAAGGCAAAAUGUGGAGAUAUUAGCUGGACACAAAUUCCCUUGUUGAUCCUUUGUCAUUUCCUUCCCUGCUCCUUUCUCUACAUAAGCUGUAAAGAAACAUUUACGUGAGUAUUCACAUAUUUGUAUCUAAAUUAUAUAAGAAACCUAUUGAUUAAACAGUUUGUAGUUGACUUUAAAAAGCCUGCAUUAAAUAUAUUUCAAUCAGAAA